CUUUUUCCUCUUCGAGACUUCUUCCACUCCUAUUUUCUGACGUCGAUGGCCGUAAAUUUGUUGAAGAUAAAGCGAAUCAACCUAAUUGUUUUGACUUUGGUGGUAUUUGUAUCGAUCAACCUUGCCCAUUGCCCCUAUGGCACUAUUUCGUGUCCGCAUUCGUGUCCAAAUAUCCUUGAUCAUUGCUGUUGCCCAAGCAAGUAAGUAGCAUGGGUGGAAAAUAUGAUUGGAAUGGUACAAUUAACAGGAUAUUAAUUUUAAUGUAAUGCUUCC